GGGCAGCUCGGGUUAAUAUAUGUCGUCAGAGGCUCCUCACGCCAAUCCCGGGGCGGCGGGGGCGGCGCCUCGCGCUCUCCGCAAUAAAACUUUUUGAUGUUCACGUUGCUAAUUGCCGAGGUCCUCUUCUAGGAUUGGUUGUCCACUCAUAACCAUAAGAUAAUUAAAACAAGGGGGGAGGGUUAAAAAAAAACCUUUUUAUCAGCCAUAGGUUAAUGCAAGUGUUUAACAGAUGCUUCGCUAUUAAAAUAUCCCCCCCCAUGGAAGAAUCUCAAACCAGCAACCCCAACAGAGACUUCGGAGGUUUUCAAAGUGGGGCACCUCGAUUUCUCGAAUUUGUGGUGUGGCAAGUACCCGUGUUCCGCUGGUUUAACUAGCCUGUUUGGGCGGGCAGGAGGAGGCGAGAUUACCACAUUCAGGUCUGGAGAGAUCCCUGGUGGGAUUCGUGGGCCGGCACCUUCCUCCAGGCAUCACCGAGAACUUUUCGCCCGAUGAGGGCAGGAAGG
rnacentral:lncRNA from 1 species